rnacentral:misc_RNA from 1 species
AACGCACAUUGCGCCCGCCAGUACUCUGGCGGGCAUGCCUGUUCGAGCGUCAUUUCAACCCCUCAAGCCCUGGGCUUGGUGUUGGGGAUCGACCUGGCCCCCCGCUCCGGCGGGGGGCGCGUCGGCCCUGAAAUUCAGUGGCGGUCCCGCCGCGGCCCCCUUUGCGCAGUAGCAAUACCUCGCACUGGAGAGCGGCGCGCCCACGCCCAACCCCCCCCUAUACCUUCAUAGGUUGACCUCGAAUCAGGUAGGAAUACCCGCUGAACUUAA